rnacentral:lncRNA from 1 species
CACCUCCACCCAUGCUAUUGAGCCCCACUCUUCGACCCAAACCACCACACUGCCCAGAUUCAGAUCCACCCAGCGCAGCGCCGUUGUGACUACUGGAUCUCACCGUGGUUCUCACCACCGUCAGCAAGCCCACCUCCGAGCUCUCCUACUAGCGGAAGGUGCUUCGCACCACUGAGCAAGUUGGGUAGUGCUCGUUGGCCUCACCGCCGACGAAUGUGUCCUAUCGCGCUUCCUCUACAACGAGUGCAUCAACCACUCCUUUGUCUAUGAGGCACCGCUCCCCGUCUCCAUGUUUGCGCUUAGGCUCAUUGAUAAGGCGCAGGAACCGAGUCGCGCGGGGCAGAGCUAUGCGGGGGCAUGAGCCGUGCGGGGCUGAACCGCAUGGAGCCAAAGCCGCACGGAGGGCGGAGCUGCGCACGCCAGGAUGGUCCAAGUGAUGGACCGUUGGGUCCAUCACCCUAGGUGAAGAGUAUAUAAAUAUAUGUUGGGCCUGGGAACCAGGUGGAUGACUAGGGUGGAUUAGGGGUGACUAAUCACCCUAAUCGGCUGAUCGCCCAGGCCAGCUGAUCAAGCGAUCUAAAAUCCAUGGUCCUCUUCAACAAUAUUUAAAGUAUUCCUUGUAUGCUUCCUUCUACUGUAUGUUUGGCUAACAAAUUUUUUUGAGGCAUCA